UAAUCAAUCCCACAUCAUAGGUGAUGCAAAGGGAGGAGCAAUUCUGCUUACCUGGAAAUGUUCCCUGUUUGCAACUGAUCAGAACUAAGUGUUUGCACCAUGAAAUGAAAUAAUUGAAUUAAAGAAAUAACAGUGAAUGAAUAGUUACUGAUGACAUUUGUAGGAGCUGAUGACAAUGCGACCAACACGCUUUAACUAAUGACAAACUGAUGAUUUUGAGAUUUUGUGUUCUAAAUUGGAACCUACAUCGUCUUUUCUGAUUCUGGAAUAUGUCUGUGACUUAUAUAGUAAACAUCUAGAAUGGAAGAGGGAUGGCAAAUUUCAGCCUGGCAAUCGGUUUAAUGGGUGAACGAGAAAACAUCAUCAUUUAUCUCCAUCUGCUAAAUGCCACUACAAUUUUGCAAAAAGCAAUUAAAUCAACAUUUAGAAAGCCCAGUCAUUCGUCUCUCUGUAAAUAAACUCAGAAGGCAGUCUUGGUGGGAGACGUCGUUUCCUGUGCACUGCAGAUCGUUGGACAUGCCCGUCUCUGGCCCAGUUUCUGUUCCCCGGACCCUGCCAUCACUCGAGGAACAAUCAGCUGUUUUUGUGUGUAGAAAUGCAGUGCAUUAACACUCUGGAUCAUUUGAA